AGCUCUUGCUCUUGCUCUUGCUCCUUCGCCUGCUUGCUGCGUGAGACUGAGUAACUGCUAGAUCCUUGGACUUCCAUUCACAGCUGCGACUGAACCAUUGUUGGGAAUUGGGCUGCCGACUGUAUACCUGAGGCCCAACAUCAGAAGCAGAAGCAAGAGAUAUAACCUACAAAACCAGCCAGGAGCAUGGCUCUGUGUAAAGCACUGGAAAAACAUAUAUGAGGGCUCUAGAUUUCAUGCCUAGCACCACAGGAAAAGAAACUGCCCAACUUGGCAUUAGAAGCCUUUAUAACCUAAAGUAAAUCUCGUUACUCAUGGUGGCUGUGCUUCUUUGAUAUAACUUUAAUAGUAUCAGGAUGUUACGAAUAUUAAUAUAGUGCAUAGACACUGUUCAAUGGAAGGACUGAAGCAUGCCUAGAAAUCUGUGGAACUUCCAGCUUUCUCUGCCACUGAAUAGUAAUUUUGUUUCUUCUGCCACUUGCCAGAAUGGAUCCACAUACUUACAUCCACAUCCUUAAACUAUUUAAAAUACAGAAUGAUCCAUGCUAUAAGAUUUUAUAAUAGGCGCUGGAUUAAAUGACCAAGAGACAUUAUCUAAUUUACUCUUCAGAAAAACUCUAUGAAUUUUACAGUGAGGAUAUGACAUCAAGAGUCAUGUCAACCGAAGUCGGUUAAAGACUUGAAGACUCUUGAACUAUCUAUGGUUAAAAAAGUUUCUAGCAUUGAAAAUGUAAACGAGGAAAAUACCUAAU
rnacentral:lncRNA from 1 species